AUGCAAGCGCGGCACCGGUUGCGCCACCCGGCAGCGGCGCCCGCCGCCACUUACCGGCGGCUCAGCUCAGCUCAGCCCGGCUCGGCUCGGCUCGGCUCGGCACAGCUCGGUCCGGUCCGGUCCCGCGUGGCUCGGUCCCGCGCGGCUCCGCUCCGCUCCGCGCCGCUCGCCCCGGGAGUGUUAGUGCUAGAGCUGCCGCCGAGGGGGGGUAGAAGGGCGGCGCGAUCCCGCAUCCGGCGGGCGGAGCGGCGCCGCCCCGGGCCGAGCCCCGGAAACCGGCUCGGCGCUCGCCCCCCGCUCCCGCCCCGCCCCGGGCACCGGCGGCUCCGCCGCGUCCCGCGCCCGCCCGCCCGGGACCCGCCGCUCCCGCCCCGGGCACCGGCGCCUCCCUGCGCCCGCAGCGGAGCCCGGUGCGGGGGCUCCGGCGACCCCGGUGCGGCCCCAGCGGCGAGCCCGGCCCGGCCAAGGUCCUGGCCCCGGUGCCGGUGCCGUCCAGUGGCGCAGGACAGCUCCAGGGUCCCCGCAUCCCUACUGGGCUGCCCAGCUCCCGGCGGCACGGGCCAUUCCUGCUGCCUGCAGCCACCACCCUUUUUUAAGUCAAAAAAAAUAUACAUAUAUAUAUUUUUUUCUCUCUCUCUCUCUAUAUAUAUAUAUUUUUUAAGUCAUAGAUUGCAUCUCUUUAUGGCAGCCCAUGCGGCCGGGUCGGCCCAGCCCGGCUUGGCACCCCGGGGAGCGCUCCCGCCGUGGCCCUGCAGCAUCCGAGGCCAAAGCGAGGGGGAAAUGCGAACAGCGGCACCAGCCACGCUUCCCCCCAGGGAAAGGAUGAGGAGGGAGAGGUUUCCCGGAGUGCAAACACAGCCCUCCCACGGGCUCGGCUCUCCGUGUUGGGAGGAUGCAGCCUGCUCCAGGGCUCGGAGUGAGGCUGGGGUGCAGCGGGCAGGCGCAGCCCCCCGGCACGGUGGCCCGGGGGAGGCCAGCCGAGGCGCAGGAGCACCGUGCCGGGCAGCAUCCUCGCCGCUCGCAAGACGGAGAAACUCGGUGAGCAACAGGCAGCUCUGUGUGCUGGGAAGUGCCAGCAUUGGGAAAGCGCCCGGCGCGGGAACAGCUUCCCCUUGCAGAGGGCCCGGAGUCAGGGGCGAGUCACGAGUCGGCACCCUCCCCUCCAGCGCGCAGCGCAGGCUGAGACCGGCCUCCUCGAAACCCGCUCCUGAUGCAACGCGGCCCCCCCGCGCCGAGCAGCCCGCUGCGAGGCAGAGCAAAGGCGGGCAGCGAGCCGGCAGCUGCCUGCCAGCGCAGGCAAGCCUCCGCGUCGGCCGCGCCAGCCGCUCGGCAGCAACAGGCUUCCCGCGCGGAGCCCCGCGGGGAGGAGACAAAAGGCUCCGCUCAGCCCCGUCACGGGCUCGAGGCGAUGGAAACGGCCCGGCAGCAUCCUGCGAAAGCGGCCGCCGGGCUGUGAUGCAGACGUUCCUCUCGCUCUCCGGCCCCGCGCGGAUAAAUGAACUGCAUCCCAGUGACGCCCCUGCCCUCCCCGGCCGCGCGCGCCCUGCUAGGAAGGAAGUGAGCUCAAGAUGA
ensembl:lncRNA